GACGAACGCUGGCGGCGUGCUUAACACAUGCAAGUCGAACGGUGAUCUUGGGAGCUUGCUCUUGGGUGAUCAGUGGCGAACGGGUGAGUAACACGUGAGUAACCUGCCCUUGACUCUGGAAUAACUUCGGGAGACCGAAGCUAAUACCGGAUACGACACAGAGCUGCAUGGCUACUGUGUGGAAAGUUUUUCGGUUGGGGAUGGACUCGCGGCCUAUCAGCUUGUUGGUGAGGUAAUGGCUCACCAAGGCGACGACGGGUAGCCGGCCUGAGAGGGCGAUCGGCCACACUGGGACUGAGACACGGCCCAGACUCCUACGGGAGGCAGCAGUGGGGAAUAUUGCACAAUGGGCGAAAGCCUGAUGCAGCGACGCCGCGUGAGGGAUGAAGGCCUUCGGGUUGUAAACCUCUUUCAGUAGGGAAGAAGCGCAAGUGACGGUACCUACAGAAGAAGCACCGGCUAACUACGUGCCAGCCGCCGCAGUAAAAC
rnacentral:rRNA from 1 species